UACGUAGGGGGCUAGCGUUGUCCGGAAUCAUUGGGCGUAAAGCGCGCGUAGGCGGCCCGGUAAGUCCGCUGUAAAAGUCAAAGGCUCAACCUUUGAAUGUCAGUGGAUACUGCCGGGCUAGAGUCCGGAAGAGGCGAGUGGAACUCCUGGUGUAGCGGUGGAAUGCGCAGAUAUCAGGAAGAACACCAGCGGCGAAGGCAGCUCGCUGGGACGGAACUGACGCUAAGGCGCGAAAGCGUGGGGAGCGAACAGG
rnacentral:rRNA from 1 species